AAUAAGUGCAGUUUUGCACUAUUCACGUUCAACGCUUGACCGUUCGUCUUAUUUGAAAACUUUUUGUGAUUAGUAUUUUUUUGCUAUUACAUGAUAAAACAUGAAUACUAAUUUAUGUGUGACUAAAUAUUUUCAAAUUUUCCAUAAAUGUUUUAAAUAAGACGGAUGGUCAAUCAUUGGGUACGAAUAUCUACGGCUGCACUUAUU
rfam:Oryza meridionalis cultivar OR44 (W2112) chromosome 6, whole genome shotgun sequence.